CCAAGAUAAAGCCGGCGGUGAACUAGAUUGAGACGCACCCUUACUUCCAGCGCGACUCUCUUGUCAAGUUCUGCCAGAAGCACGGGAUCUGCGUGACCGCGCACACCCCGCUGGGUGGCUCCACCGCCAACGCCGAGUGGUUCGGGAGGGUGUCGUGCCUGGACGACCCUGUCAUCAAGAGCUUGGCUGAGAAGUACGGCAAGACGCUGGCGCAGCUCGUCCUCCGCUGGGGUCUGCAGCGGGACACAGUGGUGAUCCCCAAGACCUCUAAGGUGGAGAGGCUGCAGGAGAACUUUGACGUCUUCGGUUUCGACAUCUCCGGCGAGGACAUGGAGAGGAUGAAGGCCGUCGACCGGAAGUACUGGACUAACCAGCCUGCCAAGCUCUGGGCAUCGACCUGUAUGCUUAGCUUUUAGUUCGGUCGCGUCGCGUGCUACGUCUCUCGGCUCCCCCCAGACAAGACAGCAUCAAUAAUGAGGAUUCCCUCAUACGACAUCAGUCAAAGUCAUGAGGAUCUCAGACAGCAUCUUCCAUCACGUGUCCCUCUCUCUUUCAGCUCAGCUUCAUCACCAUGUAGACUACGCAGUGGUUGCACUCGAUUAUUUACUGUUUUUCUUCCUUA